GUGCUCGCUUCGGCACCACAUAUACUAAAAUUGGAACGAUACAGAGAAGAUUAGCAUGGCCCCUAAGUGGGAGUGCCCAAGGGUAAUAGAAUUUUGGAACAAAAUACUU